CAUGAAUCGGAAUUGCUAGUAAUCGCAGAUCAGCAUGCUGCGGUGAAUACGUUCCCGGGCCUUGUACACACCGCCCGUCACACCAUGGGAGUCGGUAACACCCGAAGCCUGUAGUCUAACCGCAAGGAGGACGCAGUCGAAGGUGGGAUUGAUGACUGGGUGAAGUCGUAACAAGGUACC
rnacentral:rRNA from 1 species